AUUUACAGCCAUAUCACUGUGAACGUGUCUGAUCUCAGAAGCGAAGCAAGGUUGGACCUGGUUGGUGCUUGGGUGGGAGACCACCUGAGAAUACCUGGUAGCGUUGUGGUUA
rnacentral:rRNA from 1 species